rnacentral:rRNA from 1 species
UACGUAGGGUGCAAGCGUUGUCCGGAAUUAUUGGGCGUAAAGAGCUCGUAGGCGGUCUGUCGCGUCGAAUGUGAAAACCCGGGGCUCAACCCCGGGCCUGCAUUCGAUACGGGCAGACUAGAGUCCGGAAGAGGAGAGUGGAAUUCCUGGUGUAGCGGUGAAAUGCGCAGAUAUCAGGAAGAACACCAAUGGCGAAGGCAGCUCUCUGGGACGGUACUGACGCUGAGACGCGAAAGCGUGGGGAGCGAACAGG